AAUCUUCCGCAAUGGACGAAAGUCUGACGGAGCAACGCCGCGUGAGUGAUGAAGGUCUNCGGAUCNUNAAACUCUGUUGUUAGGGNAGAACAAGUAUCGUUCGAAUAGGGCGGUACCUUGACGGUACCUAACCAGAAAGCCACGGCUAACUACGAGCCAGCAGCCGCGGUAAUACGUAGGUGGCAAGCGUUAUCCGGAAUUAUUGGGCGUAAAGCGCGCGCAGGCGGUCCUUUAAGUCUGAUGUGAAAGCCCACGGCUCAACCGGGGAGGGUCAUUGGAAACUGGAGGACUUGAGUACAGAAGAGGAAAGCGGAAUUCCACGUGUAGCGGUGAAAUGCGUAGAGAUGUGGAGGAACACCAGUGGCGAAGGCGGCUUUCUGGUCUGUAACUGACGCUGAGGCGCGAAAGCGUGGGGAGCAAACA
rnacentral:rRNA from 1 species